ACUAAAGCUUACAUAAAUAUUCCCACACUAAUUAACCCAAACUAAAGAUAACUAUACAAUUUCUCCUGAAGAAGCACAAGUACAACAGAUAGGCACUGCUCUCUCUGUUCCAUCUCGCAGCCACAGGUGUUAAGGAACUGAUGGUCAUUGGCCUUGUUCCACCUUUUAUGCCCUCAGGUUGGUGGGAUAGUGCAGGCGAGGCCCAAUGGACACUACUAGCCAGAAUUCCAAUUUCAAGCGUAUGCACACCAGAAGUGGAAUACAUAUAGACAAGCACUCAAAGAAUGAAAAAAGCUUCCGCUGAAACGUUGCUGCAAUUCCAUCUUUUGCCCACCAGAGGGCACUGUGGCAAUAGGACAUAGCAGCAGCUCCGGGACAGCUAGGGAAGACAAAGAACCUGCCUUCUUCACAGCUUCUUCACAGCGCCUGUAAGAUCAGAAUUCCCUCAGGAGUACAAGUGUAUAUACAGCUGUGAUGGACAAACUGCACUUGGUUCCUUCUCAAUCCCAUGUAAAAAAAGAUUCUGAAGCAGGAGGGAAGGAGUGCAAGUAGUGGAGCAUCCAUGUGAACAUAAAUCUUGAA